rnacentral:lncRNA from 1 species
UUUUUUUUCUCUUUUUACAACCACACCCGUGGGUGGCUGUGGAAGUUCCCGGGCCAGGGGUCGAACUGGAGGUGCAGCUGCAGGCCUAAAGGCCUAAGCCGCAGCCACACUGGAUCCUUCACCCACUCAGGCCAGGGAUCAAACCCACCUUCGCACGAAGUCAGAUCCUUAUUAACCUGCUGAGCCACAACAGGAACUCCUAACCAAGCUUCUCUUCCACCUCAAGACAGCUGAGGAGAGAAGCGGGAGUGGAGUGGUGAUAGAUUCAGUGUGCAGAUUAACGAGGACAGGCCCGCAGCCUCCCGGCGUUAGACUGAGGAGCACAGCGUUCACUUCGUCGAGAUCGCUCUUGUUCUUCAAGUAAGCUGUCGAGUUCUCUUCAUGAAAAUGCUGCGUAUUUCUUAGUAAAUAGUGUCUUGUAAUUUACUCCUACGGUUUUUAUUCCUAAUGGGAUGAGAUCCUUUUUCCUUUUUUCCUCGAGGCAUAUGCAGGUCCCCAGGCUAGGGGUCGAAUCAGAGCCACAGCCACAGCCAAGCAGGAUCCGAGCCUCGUCUGCGACCUACACCACCGCUCACAGCAACACCGGAUCCUUAUCCCACUGAGCGAGGCCAGGGAUGGCUCCUAGUGGGAUUCGUUUCUGCUGAGCCGCGACGGGGACUCCCCCCUUCUCCAUUUCUCAGCUGACGACUGCUGGGGAAACCUUACAGUUGGUUUCCCUGCCUUUAACCGCCCACCUUUCCAAACAGCUACUGGUUCUAGGAACGGUAUUUUGGUUAAUUUCCUUGAAUUUAUUUUUCUGAAUAUCACCUGCAAACUAGGAUCUUUUCUACUUUUCUUCCCAAUAUCUGCACUUAUUCCUUCUUCUCUUCCCUCCAGUAGAUGCUGAAUAAUAGUUUUACUCGAACCCCCUAUUUCACUCUGAAGACUAUCACCACCUACUGGUGGUUUCAAAGAACUACUUUUCAUCACCUUCUACUUUACUGCGUUCUGAAUCCUAACACGCUGUUAAAUUUCACCAGCGCCUGUCAGGUCUCCGCGGGCGAUUUCGAAGGGCUCUGACAUUCCUUCUUUGGGUCACUGGCUGGGCUCCACUUGGCGGAGUGUGACACAAGCCCAAGGGCAAAACACAAAUUUCAUUGAACUGAAUUUUAAAUAAAAAUUUCCCACUACCUAGUAUUUUGAGAAGAACUCUGUUAGUGCCAGUUUUCUAAUAUCUAGUGCCACAGGAGAGACGAAAAGACAAGGCUGAAAUAAAUGAAAAUGUCUACACAACACAAUGCGUAUGUCCAACAAGAAAAGUAAAAGCUAUAAUCAACAUUUUCAAUUUUAUGGCGGGUGCACUACUGAUUACAAAAAAAUCUGUAACAGCAUUGUGCCUUUCCACCUAGAAGGAGCUCAGGAAACACCUGCUAAAUAAAUGCUCGACUGUUCCCCAAACACACCGCCUCUGGUUCUCUCAGGUCUUCACAGGAACACACCCUCCACCUGAGACACCCCCAUGCGGCCGGAACCCUCCCACCUGUCCUGCAGGUUUCAGCCGAAGGACCGGCCGAGUCCAGACACCUGCUCCAGGUCCCUCCUCGGCUCCCUCACACGGCGCUAGCAUAUCGCCCACCCUCUCACCACUAGGACCUGCUUGUGGGUCCGCCUUGCUCCCCCCUCAGACUGCUGCUCUUCUUGUAAACAAGGCCUCCCCUCCCGCGUCCUCCAUACCCUCCCCUCACACAUGCACUGAAGAGAUGCUGCAGAAGGAGGGAGUGGCCAGAGACGGAAUUCCAGACCCGAACCAGCUCUGUGCCCACAGGCCAAUCAGUUACCACCUCUGAAUCUCAGCUUUCCUCACUUACAAAAUUUAACAAUAUCUCUUCUCCUAUCCAGCUCACAGGACUGAUGGGAGAAUCAAAUAAGAUGGAAGAUGGUAAGAGUUUUUCUACAGCCCUACAUUGUUUUGCAGAAGGUUUUAAAAUGUUAAACAAAUUCCACAAUAAAAACCAUAAAAAAGAGUUCCUGUCAUGGCUCAGCGGUUAACGAACCCGACUAGCAUCCAUGAGGACUCAGGUUCGAUCCCUGGCCUCCCUCAGUGGGUUAAGGAUCCGGUGUUGCCAAGAGCUGUGGUGUAGGCUGCAGACACGUGGCUCAGAUCCGGCGCUGCUGGGGCUGUGGUGUAGGCCGGUGGCUACAGCUCCGAUUGGACCCCUAGGCUGGGAACCUCCAUAUGCCGCAGGAGUGGCCCUGGAAAAGGCAGAAACACACACACACACACACACACACACACACACACACACACAAGCUGUAUGGUUAGGUAUAUAAAGCAAAAGCCAAUACCUGCAAUCUUCAGAACAGAAAAUUUCAAGAUGUCUUCAGAAUAGGUAACGUCACUUGCACACUGCUACGAAUUUAUCAGCCCUUCCUCAUUCUAGUUUGUUCAUCCUCAAAUUUAUUUUCUAGCAAGUAACCUCACCAUCUCGCACCAGAAGAUUAAGCCGUACUUACAAGCAUCCACAGAAAACACCCCCUACCACCAUAUGCAGGGGGUGGGGGAUCAAGUCGUUACGCGGAGACAUCGAUCUGUAAAAUCCAUACACAUCUUUUUUGCUGUAAAGGUCUAACAUGCUACUUUAUCAGCAGCUAACCCAAAACCUAAACCGGACUGAAUGCAGAUGUUCACAUCGAGGCAACUGCAACAUCCAAGAAUACAUCUGAAACUUCCCAUCAAGCAAAAGAGAAACAGACUCAGGGACAGAGAGAACACACUUGUGGUUGCCAAGGGGGAGGGGGGAAGAGUGGGAUGGGCGCGGAGUUUGGGGUUAGAUGCUGUUGUUUCGGUUUUGGCCACCCCAGGGCAUACAGAGUUCGCAGGCCGGGGAUCAGCUCUAGGCCACUCUUGCAACCUGUGCCACGGCUGCAGCAACACCAGAUCCUGAAUCAACUGUUCUGGGUAGGGGAAUCGAACCUGCAUCCUAGCACUCCAGAGACACCACGGAUCCCACUGAACCACAGUGGAAACUCUGGACUUGGGGGUCAGUAGAUACAAACUAUUACAUUUAGAGUGGAUAAGCAAUGAGGCCCUACUGCAGAGCACAGGGAACCAUAUCCAAUCUCCUAGGACAGACCAUGAUGGACAUCAACAUAAGAAAAAGAAUGUGUGUGUGUGUGUGUGUGUGUGCGCGCGCGCACGCGCGUACAUGUGCGUGUACAUGUGUAUAUAUGCACAAUGUAAUAAACUAUAAUAAAAAAAAUUCUUUUUGUCUUUUUUCACAGCCUCACCCAUG